rnacentral:lncRNA from 1 species
GAGGUGUGUUUUGUUUCGAUGGAAGUCUAGACGUGUAUCACUAGACGCCAUCCCCAGUUGUCAAAUGAAUUGGCAUCCAUCAAAUAAAGUGGAGUUCUAAACUGAAGUAGUUGAAUUAUUUGAAAUUUUCAGAUCACCUUCCACCAAGAUUUGGGAGUUGCUGCACUAUAUCAUGUGGAUGAUGAAUAACAUUGUUAGCAAAAUUAAGACAAAAGGUGAUAUGGGGAAGAAAGAUAUCUCUGCAGAAGGAUCACAUGCCCAGUAGAAUGUAUGAACCAUAACAAAGGCUUGACUUUUAAAACGGCUGCUAUUCUAUUCCAGUAAAUAUCCCUGGUUUUCACCCCCUCACCGCUCACAUCUUUCAACAAUUCGAGUAACCUAUUACCGGCGAUGUGGUUUGGUAGGAGAGUCGUAUAGGAAAUGCAGAUAAACAGAAGAGCUGUAUGCCUUGUGAUUGUGAGGCUGGGAUGCACCUGGAAUGAACACAUAAUAAGAGGUAAUUCUCCUGGUGCGAAAAGCAUUCAGUACGUACAGCUCUGGAGGAUCCAGCAUUAGCCAUUCUUCAGAUGGACGGAUCAAAUUAGGCAGCCAGCCAUCCUCUUACA